rnacentral:rRNA from 2 species
CGCCGCGUGAGUGAAGAAGGUUUUCGGAUCGUAAAACUCUGUUGUUAGAGAAGAACAAGGAUGAGAGUAACUGUUCAUCCCUUGACGGUAUCUAACCAGAAAGCCACGGCUAACUACGUGCCAGCAGCCGCGGUAAUACGUAGGUGGCAAGCGUUGUCCGGAUUUAUUGGGCGUAAAGCGAGCGCAGGCGGUUUCUUAAGUCUGAUGUGAAAGCCCCCGGCUCAACCGGGGAGGGUCAUUGGAAACUGGGAGACUUGAGUGCAGAAGAGGAGAGUGGAAUUCCAUGUGUAGCGGUGAAAUGCGUAGAUAUAUGGAGGAACACCAGUGGCGAAGGCGGCUCUCUGGUCUGUAACUGACGCUGAGGCUCGAAAGCGUGGGGAGCAAACAGGAUUAGAUACCCUGGUAGUCCACGCCGUAAACGAUGAGUGCUAAGUGUUGGAGGGUUUCCGCCCUUCAGUGCUGCAGCUAACGCAUUAAGCACUCCGCCU